rnacentral:rRNA from 1 species
GAUGAACGCUGGCGGCGUGCCUAAUACAUGCAAGUCGAGCGAACAGAUGAGGAGCUUGCUCCUCUGACGUUAGCGGCGGACGGGUGAGUAACACGUGGAUAACCUACCUAUAAGACUGGGAUAACUUCGGGAAACCGGAGCUAAUACCGGAUAAUAUAUUGAACCGCAUGGUUCAAUAGUGAAAGACGGUUUUGCUGUCACUUAUAGAUGGAUCCGCGCCGCAUUAGCUAGUUGGUAAGGUAACGGCUUACCAAGGCAACGAUGCGUAGCCGACCUGAGAGGGUGAUCGGCCCCACUGGAACUGAGACACGGUCCAGCCUCCUCCGGGAGGCACCAGUGGGGAAUCUUCAGAAAUGGGCAAAACCCUGACGGAGCACCGCCGCGUGAGGGAUGAAGGUCUUCGGAUCUUAAAACUCUUUUAUUGGGAAAAAACAAUUGUUUAAGAAACUAUGCCGGCUUUGACGGUACCUAAUAAGAAAGCCCCGGCUAACUCCGUG